AAGUCACUGUGUCACAGUGAAAACCCAAUGUGGGAGGAAAGAACAGCAUUCGGAUUACUGACCUGCACCUGUUUGGGGGACCUGGGACAAGUAUACUGUGGUUGCCUUUAAAUGUUUGCAUUACUUAGAGUAGAAACACAAAGUCAGCUUCUUGUGGCAUUGAGUCUUGUAAAAUUGUCUCCUAAUCUGCAGUGUGAUGUCCUCCCACCUUGUUUGCUUGUUCAUGGCUGAUUCUCUUGGUAGAAUAUGCAUUACUCCAAAAAUGUUCACUGCUGUUUUGCCUGAAUUCCACCGCCAUGGAAGUUCUCCCCACUUUUGAGGAACUGUGGCUAGAACAAUGGACUUGUACUACUUAACGUGCUUUUAUAAAUAGAUUUAGAGUGGAGCAGUUUAGUGAUGAGGUAGGAUGUGUUGCUAAUACUGUUUUGCUGAACUGCUGAACCCAGAAACAUUUGAAGACAGGCAGACAAAGUAGUAGGUCACCAUGCUGUAAGGCUGCCUUGGGCAGGAAUAGUGCCAUUUCAUGGCUUCCUGUUUUCUAUAUAGGAAGAAGAACUUUACAACUGACACUGUCCAGUUAGUCACAACAAGCCAUUCCAAUUUUACUGCUGUAUGUGACAAUAGUCUGAAAGCAUGCCUUACCAGACAGAUGAUGACUGCCAUUCAGAUUCUGCCUCCAUCAAUUGCCUAGGAUUCCCUGAAAUGGGAGGACUCAAAGUAUCCUUUGGCCCCUCAGAAAACAGCCAGAGGACUAAGUAUGCAAGAUUAAUGAGGUGGUCUGCUCAAGUUGGAUGGGCCAAAUUAAUGAAUGCAGUUUGUAUCAUCAAAAAAAGCAAAUCAACGAUUUUCAACUGGCCAAAGAAUCUUGGUAUAGGAGGUAUGUGAGAGCACAGAAAGCAAAGGUCUGCACACUUUCCCGUGACGCCCCUGCAAGUCUCUGCCCUUUCCAGGCGGUUCUGUUCAGUGGGGCAGGAUUUAAGGAGGGAAGCAUUCAUGAAAAGGUAAAAGCCAGACAUAUCUUUUUCCUGAUUUAUGUGCUUCUAUCUAGCAUAAAUAAGAAAUAAUCUCCCCAGCC
rnacentral:lncRNA from 1 species